UACGUAGGGUGCGAGCGUUGUCCGGAAUUACUGGGCGUAAAGAGCUCGUAGGUGGUUUGUCACGUCGUCUGUGAAAUUCCGGGGCUUAACCUCGGGCGUGCAGGCGAUACGGGCAAUACUUGAGUGCUGUAGGGGAGACUGGAAUUCCUGGUGUAGCGGUGAAAUGCGCAGAUAUCAGGAGGAACACCAAUGGCGAAGGCAGGUCUCUGGGCAGUUACUGACGCUCAUGCGCGAAAGCGUGGGGAGCAAACAGGAUUAGA
rnacentral:rRNA from 1 species